rnacentral:rRNA from 1 species
GACGAACGCUGGCGGCGUGCUUAACACAUGCAAGUCGAACGCGCCUGUCCUCUGGGUUUCUGGGGGGUGGGUGAGUGGCGAACGGGUGAGUAACACGUGAGUAACCUGCCCCCUUCUUCGGGAUAACGGUCUGAAAGGGCUGCUAAUACCGGGUAUUCACUGGUCUCCGCAUGGGGUCUGGUGGAAAGGUUUUUUUCUGGUGGGGGAUGGGCUCGCGGCCUAUCAGCUUGUUGGUGGGGUGAUGGCCCACCAAGGCUUUGACGGGUAGCCGGCCUGAGAGGGUGAACGGUCACAUUGGGACUGAGAUACGGCCCAGACUCCUACGGGAGGCAGCAGUGGGGAAUAUUGCGCAAUGGGCGCAAGCCUGAUGCAGCGACGCCGCGUGAGGGAUGGAGGCCUUCGGGUUGUGAACCUCUUUCGCCCGUGGUCAAGCCGCGACGUGGGUCGUGGUGAGGGUAGUGGGUAAAGAAGCGCCGGCUAACUACGUG